rnacentral:rRNA from 1 species
AUACGGAGGGGGCUAGCGUUGUUCGGAAUUACUGGGCGUAAAGCGCGCGUAGGCGGUCUGUUUAGUCAGGCGUGAGAUCCCUGGGCUUAACCCAGGAACUGCGUUUGAAACUGGCAGACUCGAGUUCGGGAGAGGAGAGUGGAAUUCCCAGUGUAGAGGUGAAAUUCGUAGAUAUUGGGAAGAACACCAGUGGCGAAGGCGGCUCUCUGGACCGAUACUGACGCUGAGGUGCGAAAGCGUGGGGAGCAAACAGGAUUAGAAACCCCAGUAGUCC